AGAGCGAACGCUGGCGGCAGGCCUAACACAUGCAAGUCGAGCGCGUGUAGCAAUACACGAGCGGCAGACGGGAGAGUAACACGUGGGAACGCGCCCUUCGGUUCGGAAUAACUCAGGGAAACUUGAGCUAAUACCGGAUACGCCCUUACGGGGAAAGAUUUAUUGCCGAAGGAACGGCCCGCGUCCGAUUAGCUAGUUGGUGAAGUAACGGCUCACCAAGGCGACGAUCGGUAGCUGGUCUGAGAGGAUGACCAGCCUCACUGGGACUGAGACACGGCCCAGACUCCUACGGGAGGCAGCAGUGGGGAAUAUUGGACAAUGGGCGCAAGCCUGAUCCAGCCAUGCCGCGUGGAUGAUGAAGGCCUUAGGGUUGUAAAGUCCUUUUAACGGGGAAGAUAAUGACGGUACCCGUAGAAUAAGCCCGGCUAACUUCGCGCCAGCAGCCGC
rnacentral:rRNA from 1 species